UGAACGCUGGCGGCGUGCCUAAUACAUGCAAGUCGAGCGAACAGACGAGGAGCUUGCUCCUCUGACGUUAGCGGCGGACGGGUGAGUAACACGUGGAUAACCUACCUAUAAGACUGGGAUAACUUCGGGAAACCGGAGCUAAUACCGGAUAAUAUAUUGAACCGCAUGGUUCAAUAGUGAAAGACGGUUUUGCUGUCACUUAUAGAUGGAUCCGCGCCGCAUUAGCUAGUUGGUAAGGUAACGGCUUACCAAGGCAACGAUACGUAGCCGACCUGAGAGGGUGAUCGGCCACACUGGAACUGAGACACGGUCCAGACUCCUACGGGAGGCAGCAGUAGGGAAUCUUCCGCAAUGGGCGAAAGCCUGACGGAGCAACGCCGCGUGAGUGAUGAAGGUCUUCGGAUCGUAAAACUCUGUUAUUAGGGAAGAACAAAUGUGUAAGUAACUAUGCACGUCUUGACGGUACCUAAUCAGAAAGCCACGGCUAACUACGUG
rnacentral:rRNA from 1 species